rnacentral:rRNA from 1 species
CCUACGGGCGGCAGCAGUGAGGAAUAUUGGUCAAUGGACGAGAGUCUGAACCAGCCAAGUCGCGUGAAGGAUGACUGCCCUAUGGUUUGUAAACUUCUUUUAUAAAGGAAUAAAACGAGUCACGUGUGCCUUUUUGCAUGUACUUUAUGAAUAAGGAUCGGCUAACUCCGUGCCAGCAGCCGCGGUAAUACGGAGGAUCCGAGCGUUAUCCGGAUUUAUUGGGUUUAAAGGGUGAGUAGAUGGGUUGUUAAGUCAGUUGUGAAAGUUUGGGGCUCAACCGUAAAAUUGCAAUUGAUACUGGCAGUCGUGAGUACAGUAGAGGUAAGUGGAAUUCGUGGUGUAGCGGUGAAAUGCUUAGAUAUCAGGAAGAACACCGAUUGCGAAGGCAGCUUACUAAACUGUGACUGACAUUGAUGAUCGAAAGUGUGGGUAUCAAACAGGAUUAGAUACCCGAGUAGUC